CAGUACUGUUGUGCAGUUAGACUGCUGUUGCUGCUCUUGCAAGCUCUCUCCCUCUCUCUCGCUUUUUCUCUCUCUCUCUUCCCUCCUCUCUUGUUUUUACUGUCUUGCACCGCUGAGGCGCUUGGCUCUCGCACGCACACAGAGAGGCACGCGCAGGGGCUCGCUCACAUUAACCAUUAAACACAUCUACAUGCAGUGGAGCAGCAAGAAAACAGACACAUGUUAGGUUAGGAAACGCUCUCUCUCCCUUUCGCUAUCUAUCUAUCUCUCUCUUGCCUUCUCUCCCUCUCUCUCUCUCUCUUUUUCUAAGAAUGGUCCAGCUGGUGCCUGGGGCCCUGCUGUCGUGGCCUGCUGCCUGCAUCUGAUCACGAUCUCUCUCUCUCUCUCGCUCUCUCUCUCGCUCUCUCUCUCUCUCUCUCUCUCUCUCUCUCUCUUUUACACACAUACACACACACGCACACACACGCACAGAGCCGGCUCACAGGGAAGCACAAUGUGAGAGGUGGGUACUGAAGGUAGUGCCCUCUCUUGCUGCAGCUUGGACCCGCUUGUAGUGCCAGUCCCUGCUUUUUUUGCAAGCUUGCUACUCAAACCAGUCCUGGACCUUCAGCCGUGUGACCUCUGACCCUUUAUCCUGCAAACCCCUGCCACCUCUGCUGACCCCUGACCUACCACGUGCACCACCUUCUGCACAGCUGCAGUACCCCAGGAGCUGCCAAGUGCCAGUGGGAUUUCUAGGAGUUAGAACGUUUUCACAGUUGGAGAUUUCUUUACGUGCGUGUGUGUGUAAAAAAAAGAACAAAACAAAACAAAACAAAAAAAACAGAUAACAGCCAGAAGUAAAAAAAAGGUUUUAUUUUCUUUUUUGCUGCCUGGGAAUUCUCUGCGAUUCAGUGUCACGCCCUUGACCCCCACACACUCCUCGCUGUGGAAUAGGCUUCAUGUUGAUUGUUUGAAAAAGAGAAGCAAAGAGAAACUUCCCAUUAAAAGGCCGUGCAGCAGAUCUCUUCCUGACCUUGAACACACACACACACACACACACACACACACAAGUUUGCGCUCGCCAUGGCAAUGAACAUGGCACACAUUCGCGACCCAAAAUGGCUGACGCUGGAGGUGUGUCGUGAGUUCCAGAGAGGCACGUGCUCACGCUCAGACGCUGAGUGCAAAUUCGCCCAUCCAGCCAAGAGCUGCCAGGUGGAGAACGGCCGAGUAAUCGCCUGCUUCGACUCGCUCAAGGGACGCUGUUCCAGAGAGAACUGUAAGUACCUGCAUCCGCCACCACACCUGAAGACGCAGUUGGAGAUAAACGGCCGCAAUAACCUGAUCCAGCAGAAGAACAUGGCCAUGCUCGCCCAGCAGAUGCAGAUCGCCAGCGCCAUCAUGCCUGGCAGCCAGCUUCAGCCAAUGCCUUUUAUCUCCGUCACGCCAAACUUAGCCACCAACGCCAGUGCGGCAGCGGCAGCAGCUGCGGCAGCGGCGGCUUCGUUUAACCCAUACCUAAGUCCCGUAUCGCCAGCACUAGUGCCCACUGCUGCUGACAUCCUGCCCAGUGCACAAGUCCUGAUCGGUGGAAAUCCUGCUGCUGUGGCACCUGUAAACUCCACAGCCAACGCAGCUGCACAGAAACUACUGCGCACCGACCGCCUGGAGGUGUGUCGCGAGUACCAGCGUGGUAAUUGUUCUCGCGGUGAAACAGACUGCAGAUUUGCUCACCCGGCCGACAGCACCAUGAUAGACUCCAGCGAGAACACCGUCACCGUGUGUAUGGACUACAUCAAGGGCCGCUGUUCACGGGACAAAUGCAAAUAUUUCCAUCCUCCUGCACACCUGCAGGCCAAGAUCAAAGCCGCACAGCACCAGGUGAACCAGGCCACAGCCACCGCGGCUAUGACGGCUGUCAAAUCACUGAAGCGACCCCUCGAGGCCACCUUUGACCUGCAGGGCCUUCCUCAUAGUGUAAUUCCUCCUUUGCCAAAGAGACCAGCCCUUGAGAAAACCAACGGUGCCACCGCCAUGUUUAAUGCCAGCAUGCUGCAGUACCAACAAGCUCUGGCCAACAUGCAGUUUCAUCAGCAGUUUAUUCCUUCAGGCUCAAUAUUGUGCAUGACUCCUGCAGCAAGUGUGGUACCCAUGAUGCACGGCGCUUCACCGGCCGCUGUGUCCGCAGCAACCACAUCCGCCACUACUGUUCCCUUCGCAUCCGCAGCAGCCAAUCAGUGGGGUCAGGAUUCUCUUCACCCUCUUGUUAUCCUUCUUGAUCAUUCGUUUUAUUCGCAGAAUAAAGCAAUGUUCUGACUCCCAAAUAGCCUUCAUUCAAGAAAGUUUUGGAGAAAGAUGAUCAUGACUGACUCUUCUCUAUCAAAGCUGACUACCAACGAAUACAUGCAAUUGAUUCCAAUAAUAUCUGCAGAACAUCUGACUAGCCACAAGUACCUGACUCAGAUGUAGUCAGAGACCAGACCAAUAAAAUGAAUCUUCUCAUCUGUUACCUGGGACAGACACAAACAAUUCGAUGGCAACAAAUAUUCACAUUUCAUUCGCAUCCUUAGAUUCAAAUCCUUCGGGGGAAUCAUUAGUACUGGUAAUAUGUAAAGAAAUCCCAAUAUGCAGUGCCCUUAGAGGUGGUGUGCAGGACUUAAAAGAAAUUAAUGUACAUAUGAUCAUAAGUUCAUACACUUAGGAACAUUUAGCUAGAAACAGUUUGUUAGUACCAAGUCUAACAAUGUACAGGUUUAGAUAUGAUACCAACAGACGCUAUAACAAUAGACUAAAGUUUUUUCCUGAAUUAAAUCCCUUAGGUAUUUAAGUGACGUUAUUUGAAAGUAACACUUUACUGAAGGUUAAAAUUGUAGAGCUGGUGGUUUUUCAUACACACACACACACACACAUACACAUGCACACAUGCACACAUACAUUUUGCCAAAAUAUAGAUAUUUAACACCAUAGCACUGAAAUUUUGUCCCAGACUGAAAUAUUACAGAGAUCAUAUUAUCAUAGCUUUAGUAAUAAAUUCUAAGGUCAUUAUUUUUUCUUUAUAGUUAAUAAAGUGGUUUAAGACCACUCUAAAUUCUGUGCUCGGGUAUGAUGGGAACAUACAUAAGUGUAGAAGUGUUUAUUCAGAUGGAACAGAGAGAAGCAGGUUUGUGUUGCGUGCCUGUUAAAGCAGGUACAGUUCACCUUCCAGUCUUAAUAAGCGUACCGUCAUUAGCCAUGUUAGUUCGGACACGCGCACGUUGGCGAAUUGUAACACGUCAUGCCAUAUUCAGUGCUUAUAUGCCAAUGCCUUGUUCAUUUAUAUUGAACGAUGAAUAAUUAGCAUUGGUUUUAUUAGUCGAACGUCGAGUUUGAGAAUGUUUUCCUGAGUUGAACGUGACAUCAGGUGAAGCGUCGCUGAUUUGACACGGGUGGUUUACAAAUAAAAUGUGAAAAUGCACCUUAAAUUUAAAGAUAAUUACAAUUCCUCAUGGCACAAAACAUCCAGCGAAACGCAAGUGUUCUUUUUUGCUGCGUGAAAAGUGCAGACUUGCAGAGGAAGGAUCAGGAUUAAAGAAGACUAAUGAAUGUUUUUAUGUAAAACCAGAAUCCUUCAGACCUUUUAAAGCACAUCUUAGCUUUAAAUCAAGCUUCACGAGAUACACAAUAGGCUACAAAAAGAUAGUGUUAUAUCGACAGUGUUAUUCUGUUUACCAGAGAUUGUUUUUAUACAUUAGUUGAUGUCUUUUUUUUUUUUUUUCCUCUCUGAAUUAAUUUUUAUCGUUAUUUGUCUCUAAUGUUUUCGAUGGCUUUCCAUUCAGGCCUUUUCGACUUGCAUGAAAACAGGGUUGCCUUUUCCUUCCUGUUGCCAUAUCUAGAGAUUUUUUAUUGCCUUGAAUGACUGAGUGGCUUUUUAUUGAUGAAAUGGAAAAUGGGGAUCGUUGAUCAACGCAUGUCUUUACAUUGUCAAAGUAACUCAGACUCCUCAGUCUUAGAGCAUGACGUAAAGAGACCGUUUCCAGUGGAGCCUUAAAUCACAGCACUGCUCCAACUUGAUGGUCAGAUUAGUUUGGAUUAGUUUUAUAUAUGGGAAUACCAGAUAUGUAUUUGGUUCAGGUUUUCUUUUGUAUGGAUUUGGUGCCAUUUGUGUUGUAUGUUUAUGAUUCCUUAUUUCAAACAGCUUUUAGCUUAUGUACAGCAAAAAAAAAAAAAAAAAAAAAAAAGAGAUAAUGUUGAACGUUCUGUUAAGUCGUGCCAAAGUUUUUUUUUUCUCGUUUUCGUGGUUUUCAUGAUCUAUAGUAAUCCUAAUGAAUGGUGAACGGUCGUGGGAUGAUCAAGGCCAAACCUACAGUAGUUACGAGAAAGCUUCAUAUUUUCUCGUGUGAUUUCCGAGCACAGAAGCGAGACUGCGUAGUGAGACUGAAGUUCAGAAACGUUAGACUCCCAGUUGGUGUUAGAUCUAGAUCAGUGGAGCCUAUAUGUCUUAAGUCUAUUUUUGGUGUACAGAGAGAUCUAUCAUUCAGGGUUGGGGUCAAUUCAAUUUAUAAGGUUAAUGAGAUGAUUCCUGAAAGAUAUUUCAAAUGGAUUAGUAAAUGGUGUAAAGUGCAUUUCAGCACUUGGAAUGUGUGCUAAUCCAAUGAACCCAGAUGGGAAUGAGCUCAACCCUGGCGCUGUUGCUGUUUCUUCACUGAGGCCUUAGAGUUCAGUUAGCGUUUUCACUCAGAUGUUUCAUCAGUCAUUCUUAUUGUUUUAUGCAUAUUUUAUAUUUUUAUCAAUCAUUUUAACACAUACUACUCAGUUCUUUACUUCACCAGCUUAGAUUUAAAAAAAAAAAAAACAUAUUGCUACAUGCUGCAUGUAUACUUUGUGGAAUUUACUUAUUUUGUAUUUGGUAAUAUUUGGUUUUUGAAUUGUUUUCUUGUUUUCUGGAAUUGUAAAAGCAUUCUGUUGCCUGUUUCGCGUCCUCCUUCGCUCCCUUCCUCCGUCCCUCCGUCUCUAUCAUUUUAAUGAAUUCGUCUUUUAGUGAUUUUAGAUUUUGUUGUACUUUUUUUUGUUUUUUGUUUUUUUUUUUUUUGGAAGAUUUAUGUUGAUUGUUUUGAUGUUUCUUUUCUUUUUUUUUUUUUUGAUAUCGUUUGUCUUUUGUUUUGAUAUCGAUUUUGAAAUGAACCAGUAUGACAUUUCUUAAUUUAACAAAUUUUAUUUGUACUUAACAAAUCGAGAACUUUUUAGUUUACUUAUGGAGCAUAUGUGGAAAGUAACAAAUUAUUUUCUAUUGUAUCCAUGUUAAAAUUGUAUUUUGAUAUUUUAAAAAAAAAAAAAAACAUCCCUGAAUGUCAGGCCAAAAAAAAAAAAAAAAAAAAAAAAAUAGCUAUAAUAUUGACUAUUUAGAUGACGAUGCUGAUGGUGAUGGUGAUGAUUAGAGGAUACGUGGUUGGGACUUUGGCUGCAAGUGAGAGAGCCAUGACCCGAGAGACAAAGGUCGAAUUUUGCACUUGUGUAUAUAGUCCAUAUAAAACAAGGAAAAGAAAACCUGUAUAAUAUGGAGAUCUUAUUUUGAAUAAUAAAAGAUUCUAUGAGAAAUUUUGUUAGGAUAAUUUAAGGAUUAUAGAGUAAUAGACCAGCUAAAUGAAUUUGCUUGCAGAAGUGGCUCAGCUCCUUUUAUUAUUACUUCAAAUCAUGGCUUGAAAAAAAAUAAAUAAAAAUGAAAAAGCUAAGCAUCGCUCCGCCUUAAUCAUGUGCGCUGCCUGUCAUUCAAACCUCAGUGCUGACGUUUUGGCACGUUUUCUCAUCUCGUGUGUGUGACAUGCGGUAAAAGCAGUUUUUCUAUGAGAAAUGUACCAAAGUGGAGCAUAAUGAGGACCUUAAUCCAUUACAAAAACUGAAGAUUUAUAUUUAAUAUCUCUGAUCGAUGACGUAUUAAUCAGACUGUCUGAAAGGACACUUUGUUCAGUUUCUGAUAGAAAGACUCCAGAGUGUCUUGCAGUAUUUUUUUUUUUGCCUGUCAGACAUGAGAACUGUCUCCAAAAUGUCACACACCCUUAUUAGGAAAGCUCAAUUUUUUAUUUAAUUAUUUUUUUACCUUGGGCCUGAAUGUUGUUAACUGCAUGUAGAGAUUUAAAAUGAUAAAAUCCACUUUUUAGAUAAGUAGGUAUGUCACUAAGUUCUCACAAUACCACAGUUCCCAUUAGAAAAUAUCAUUAAAAAAGAGUAACAAAUCUCAGCAUACGUUAAGUGACACAUGUUUACUCAAAUCUAUAAGGAUCAGUGUGGUUAACACAGUAAAUUAACAAGUUCAAAAUGAUCAUACAUGCUAGCGUAAGCCUUACACACCACAUGACACGCGCACACACAUACACACACACACACAAACACAGUGUGUGUGUGUGUGUAACAAGGCAACUGUGCCUUCAGCAGGAAAAGGUCACCCACCAAAAACAAAAGAAACACAAUGAAUGUAAAACUUCUGAUCUCCGUUUUGAGGUUUUGACUCACUUACCGCUGCUGCACAAGUGCUAAUAAACCAAAGCAUCACUUCUCUAAGAACAGACACAAGGCUCAGUUGUGCUCGGUGUCUGCCACAGUGAAACCGUCGGUGGUCCCUACCUGCUGAAAGCACCUGCUUUAAUGAAUGCUUCACAAUCACCAUGUAAUCUCACGCCCACUCUUUGCUUACACUCGCUAAGACCUUGUACUAUGUUUUAAAAAAAAAAGAAAUGUUUUAUGCACAUUUAUUAUUGUUUUAUUUGACUUUCUUGCUGUUAUGAAUGAAAAAAAAAAUUAAAUAAAAACCAAAAUGGAUUUCAACUGAAAAA